UGAACCACUUACCUUCCAACAUGCUUCGCCAAAGGAUACCUCCAGGUAUGUACCAGAAGUCCAGGGUUGCUACUUCACUUACUCUCUUGCUACUUCCACACAGGAUCCCAAAAUCCACCAUCUCACAUGAUUACUGCAUCUCAGGCUGCCCCUGACAUCCACAUUACCCAAUCAGCCCUUCCUUCUUAGAGAGAAGAAGAUCCAGCAGAAGACUCUGCCUUGUCCACUUGUCCAUCGCCUGCACCAGAAAGUUAUCUUCAUAUUACAUUGAGGGAACCCUCUGGACUGUGUCUGACAGUCUUGCUUUACCAAGAAAUACUGUGUAACUGAAGUUUCUCACAAGAUUGAAUGCCAAUAUUUCUUGUAUGUGUUGAUAAGGGUGGUUACUUGAGAUGUCCUCAUUGGCAUGAUGUAGCAUGAUCAAUCCUGCUGGGACGCAGCAUAGAGAUGUGAACAAUAAGGCCUAAGCAUAGGAGUGUUAUGACUUUAUACACCUUCAGAAUUGUGUGCGGAAUUCAGCAGUGCAUUCUAAUUUGCACCACC